GCUUGGCAAGACAGCAAAGCUUGUAAUUUUCAUUAGAAUGAAACCUGUAAACCGGCUGCACUGAAAUUGUAUCAUCAGGUCCUGUUAUCGAGAUUUGGAGCUGGACGGUUCGCAGCAAGUGGAUCUGGUUGUGGGUAGCCUGACGCCGAUGCCAGUGGCGGGAAAGCCUCCAUCCUGUCAUGUCCUCUGCAAGCGGCUGCUGCAGCCGCGCCGGUUCGCGCCAAAGUUGGCACGGUCAAGUAGCCAUCGCGGGCGAGGUGUGCCGCCAAAUUAAGCUGGAAGAGAAGGGGCAGUGACGUCGCCCCCGGCGUCGUCUUCUUCCUCCUCGCAGCCAAAGGCGACUGAACAAGACGUCUGCCGUGUCCUUCGCGCACGGCUCGGUCGUCGGAGCAUGGUCGUCGCCAUGGAUGAGCUGCUGCCGGUGCGAAAUUAAGCGGAAAGAAUCACGUGAUGUACUUUGGCCCAACGCCUGCUGUGACCAGGAUGAGUCAGGCAGCAGCACAAGCACGGUGGACGCACGAUGGCUCCAGACGUCGUCUUCUCCUUGUGGACCGUCCUGUCGCUUUUGAUCCGUGGAGGAAAGCCAUGGCCCAUGCACGCACAACAGGUGGAUGGACGAGGCUCGGGAAAACCAGAUUCCUCCAUGGAUCACAAGCUUUUAAACUUUUGCAUCAGUUUCUUCCUGAUGGGAGGAGCAUGUAGGGAUGCAAGUUCAUUUCUUCUUUUUUUUUUGUUAUCGGCCAAAUUCACUCCAUGUAACUUUAAAAAAUUCAAUUUCAUCGCCUAAUUGCAGGCUUA